rnacentral:rRNA from 1 species
AAAUUGAAGAGUUUGAUCAUGGCUCAGAUUGAACGCUGGCGGCAGGCCUAACACAUGCAAGUCGAACGGUAACAGGAAGCAGCUUGCUGCUUCGCUGACGAGUGGCGGACGGGUGAGUAAUGUCUGGGAAACUGCCUGAUGGAGGGGGAUAACUACUGGAAACGGUGGCUAAUACCGCAUAACGUCGCAAGACCAAAGAGGGGGACCUUCGGGCCUCUUGCCAUCAGAUGUGCCCAGAUGGGAUUAGCUUGUUGGUGAGGUAACGGCUCACCAAGGCGACGAUCCCUAGCUGGUCUGAGAGGAUGACCAGCCACACUGGAACUGAGACACGGUCCAGACUCCUACGGGAGGCAGCAGUGGGGAAUAUUGCACAAUGGGCGCAAGCCUGAUGCAGCCAUGCCGCGUGUAUGAAGAAGGCCUUCGGGUUGUAAAGUACUUUCAGCGGGGAGGAAGGUGUUGUGGUUAAUAACCGCAGCAAUUGACGUUACCCGCAGAAGAAGCACCGGCUAACUCCGUGCCAGCAGCCGCGGUAAUACGGAGGGUGCAAGCGUUAAUCGGAAUUACUGGGCGUAAAGCGCACGCAGGCGGUCUGUCAAGUCGGAUGUGAAAUCCCCGGGCUCAACCUGGGAACUGCAUUCGAAACUGGCAGGCUUGAGUCUUGUAGAGGGGGGUAGAAUUCCAGGUGUAGCGGUGAAAUGCGUAGAGAUCUGGAGGAAUACCGGUGGCGAAGGCGGCCCCCUGGACAAAGACUGACGCUCAGGUGCGAAAGCGUGGGGAGCAAACAGGAUUAGAUACCCUGGUAGUCCACGCCGUAAACGAUGUCUACUUGGAGGUUGUGCCCUUGAGGCGUGGCUUCCGGAGCUAACGCGUUAAGUAGACCGCCUGGGGAGUACGGCCGCAAGGUUAAAACUCAAAUGAAUUGACGGGGGCCCGCACAAGCGGUGGAGCAUGUGGUUUAAUUCGAUGCAACGCGAAGAACCUUACCUGGUCUUGACAUCCACGGAAGAAUUCAGAGAUGGAUUUGUGCCUUCGGGAACCGUGAGACAGGUGCUGCAUGGCUGUCGUCAGCUCGUGUUGUGAAAUGUUGGGUUAAGUCCCGCAACGAGCGCAACCCUUAUCCUUUGUUGCCAGCGGUCCGGCCGGGAACUCAAAGGAGACUGCCAGUGAUAAACUGGAGGAAGGUGGGGAUGACGUCAAGUCAUCAUGGCCCUUACGACCAGGGCUACACACGUGCUACAAUGGCGCAUACAAAGAGAAGCGACCUCGCGAGAGCAAGCGGACCUCAUAAAGUGCGUCGUAGUCCGGAUUGGAGUCUGCAACUCGACUCCAUGAAGUCGGAAUCGCUAGUAAUCGUGGAUCAGAAUGCCACGGUGAAUACGUUCCCGGGCCUUGUACACACCGCCCGUCACACCAUGGGAGUGGGUUGCAAAAGAAGUAGGUAGCUUAACCUUCGGGAGGGCGCUUACCACUUUGUGAUUCAUGACUGGGGUGAAGUCGUAACAAGGUAACCGUAGGGGAACCUGC